GCAAGUCGAACGAAAGUUUUUAACUUUAGUGGCGAACGGGUGCGUAAUACGUGAGAAUCUGCCCUUAGGAGAAGAAUAACUGCUGGAAACGGCUGCUAAAUCUUCAUAUGUCGAGAGAUGAAAUAGCUUAGGCUGCCUAAGGAUGAGCUCACGCCUGAUUAGCUAGUUGGUGAGGUAACGGCUCACCAAGGCCACGAUCAGUAGCUGGUUUGAGAGAACGAUCAGCCACACUGGGACUGAGACACGGCCCAGACUCCUCCGGGAGGCAGCAGUGAGGAAUUUUCCGCAAUGGGCGAAAGCCUGACGGAGCAAUACCGCGUGAGGGAUGAAGGAUUUUGGUCUGUAAACCUCUUUUCUCAAGAAAGAAGUUCUGACGGUACUUGAGGAAUAAGCAUCGGCUAACUCCGUGCCAGCAGCCGCGGUAAUACGGGGGAUGCAAGCGUUAUCCGGAAUCAUUGGGCGUAAAGCGCCUGUAGGUUGUUUAAUAAGUCUGUUGUUAAAGACUAGGGCUCAACCCUAGAAAAGCAAUGGAAACUACUAGACUAGAGUAUGGCAGGGGUAGAGGGAAUUUCUAGUGUAGCGGUGAAAUGCGUAGAUAUUAGAAAGAACACCGGUGGCGAAAGCGCUCUACUGGACCAUUACUGACACUCAGAGGCGAAAGCUAGGGUAGCAAAAGGGAUUAGAUACCCCUGUAGUCCUAGCCGUAAACGAUGGAUACUACAUGUUGUGCAUUAUGUACAGUAUGGUAGCUAACGCGUUAAGUAUCCCGCCUGGGGAGUACGCUCGCAAGGGUGAAACUCAAAGGAAUUGACGGGGGCCCGCACAAGCGGUGGAGCAUGUGGUUUAUUCGAUGCAACGCGAAGAAUCUUACCAGGGACUUGACAUACUACAAAUUCUUUUGAGAAAAAGAAGUGCCUUCGGGAAUGUAGAUACAGGUGGUGCAUGACUGUCGUCAGCUCGUGUCGUGGAGAAUGUGGGUAGUCCCGCAACGAGCGCACCCAUUAUUUUUAGUACAUCGUGGGUCUCUAGAAGACUGCGUGACAUCGAGAGUGGAGAUGACGUCAGUCAGCAUGCCCUUAGUCUGGCUACCACUGGCUACAUGUUAGACAAAGAGGCCGAGGCUCUGAGAGUUCAGCUAC
rnacentral:rRNA from 1 species